UACAGAGGGUGCAAGCGUUAAUCGGAAUUACUGGGCGUAAAGCGUGCGUAGACGGUCAUGUAAGUCGGGUGUGAAAGCCCCGGGCUCAACCUGGGAAUUGCAUUCGAGACUGCAUGGCUAGGGAUGCGGAAGAGGGAAGCGGAAUUUCCGGUGUAGCGGUGAAAUGCGUAGAUAUCGGAAGGAACACCAGUGGCGAAAGCGGCUUCCUGGUCCAGCAUCGACGUCAGGCACGAAAGCGUGGGGAGCAAACAGG
rnacentral:rRNA from 1 species